UGUCUCUGCCACAAACUUCUCCUUACCUGGGAGCCAGUUAAGCACUGGCUGCAGACAGGGGAAAGGUGCCCCUGACUGCACUUAGUCCCUGAUGAGUGUGCACAGCAGCUGAUAAUCACCAGUUUUUCUCCCCCAAUGAAUUUGUGCAAAAGAAGACCUCCUGCAUCUACUUCCCAUCAUCACAAAAGAACGUUUAUAAUGGGCACCUCUUAAUUGUUCAAGACCAUCAAUUUACUCAGCUGGGACACACCAUGGAUUCUAGGCAGACCACCUCACUUCAGGAGGAAUGUAGUCCUGAAGAAGAAGAGCCAAGAGAAACUAUGCAUCAGGAUCAACUGUCUUACUGCUUUUAUAUUUGCCAGAGAGCCCUGUACGGAGACAACUGGAAGAGGAAGGGUUCAAAUACCCAAGGAGCAGUGGCAGCAGCAGCAGGUAUAUACUAAGAAUACCUCUGGAAGAGAGAGGAAGAGAAGCUAUCAAAUGGAUCCCAAGAAUGUGGUCGUUCUGACCCAGCUCAUUCAGACUUACUUAUCUCACAAAAAAAGCAUAGCCGGAAUACACCAGCUGUACAGAAGAAGAUAAAUAGUUCAGAUGUCUGUUUGGAACCACUGUGACCUCAGCAAAGCUGGAAGAAAAACUACUUUUGAAGGAGCAACAGUGAUAGUCAGCUCAGCAGCACAACUCCUGUGAACUGAACUCUGCCAGGUUCCCUCGAAUGUGAGGGUGCAGUGUUGGUCAUCACAAGUUGUUGCAGUGGAACCAGACAACCCAAACCAAAGCAAAGACCACCAAGAAGCCCACAGUGGAGCAGGCUUCCUGGAUGGCAGUCACCUACCUUCAGUUGGUAAG